rnacentral:rRNA from 1 species
AUGCCUGUGAGUUAUGCUGGCUUAAAAUGUAGUGACUGGACCAUUGUUGAUGACAAGUUCAUUGAUCACUGCGAAAACUGGGUUAGUGAAAUCCUAUCCAUGGGAGGAAGGCUGAUCAAAGUGAACUCUGUGCUUUCUCACAUUCCUACUUUCUACAUGUCUAUGUUUCUUUUGAACAAGACUACCCUGGAAAAAUGGGACAAACCCAGGAGGAAAUUUUUUUGGCACAACAACAAGAAAAAGAGAGGCUACCACAUGGUUAGGUGGAGCCGUAUAUGUAGAUCCAAAAAGAAAGGGGGUUUGGGUGUUAAGGACUUGAGGAAACAGAAUAUAAGUCUUUUAGCGAAAUGGUGGUGGAAGCUUGAGAAAAACAGUGGAUUAUGGCAAGAUAUAGUUAAGGCUAAAUACCUUAAGAAAACUUCGGUGGCUAUGGUGAAACACAAAGCCAGUGACUCGCCUUGCUGGAAGUCACUUUUGAAAGUGAAAGACCUAUAUAUGAUGGGAAGGGGUAUUAAUCUAAAUAGAGGAGAUGUGGCUAGACUCUGGCAGGAUAGCCUGGAGGGUAAAAUGCAUUUUAAAGAUAGAUUCCCACUGCUCUUUGAGACCUGUAAUGAGCAAAAUUGUAAUGUUGACCAGUUUAAAAACCUGGAUCAGAUCACCUCUUUUAGGAGGAGGAUGUCCCCUGAGAUGCUGCAACAA